ACCUGGCUGGCUUAAUUGGAAGAGUAUCUAACUCUUGAUCUCAGGGUCAUGAGUUCAAGCCUCAUGUUAGGUA
rnacentral:tRNA from 1 species